AGAAUUUUUCUCAAUGGGCGCAAGCCUGAAGGAGCGACGCCGCGCGGGGGAUGAAGGGUUUCGAUCCGUAAACCCCUGUCAUUUGUGAACAAUGUUCCGAUAUGAAUAAUAUCGGAAUUGAUAGUAAUGAAAGAGGAAGGGACGGCUAACUCUGUGCCAGCAGCCGCGGUAAUACAGAGGUCCCGAGCGUUGUUCGGAUUCACUGGGCGUAAAGGGUGCGUAGGUGGCGGGGUAAGUUUGAUGUGAAAGCUCAGGGCUUAACCCUGAAAUGGCAUUGAAUACUACUCUGCUGGAGGUUUGGAGGGGGGACUGGAAUUCUUGGUGUAGCAGUGAAAUGCGUAGAUAUCAAGAGGAACACCAGUGGCGAAGGCGAGUCCCUGGACAACACCUGACACUGAGGCACGAAAGCUAGGGGAGCAAAC
rnacentral:rRNA from 1 species